rnacentral:rRNA from 1 species
AGCGAACGCUGGCGGCAGGCCUAACACAUGCAAGUCGAGCGCCCAGCAAUGGGAGCGGCAGACGGGAUAGUAACACGUGGGAACGUACCCUUCAGUUCGGAACAACCCAGGGAAACUUGGGCUAAUACCGAAUACGUCCGUAAGGAGAAAGAUUUAUCGCUGAAGGAUCGGCCCGCGUCGGAUUAGCUAGUUGGUGAGGUAAUGGCUCACCAAGGCGACGAUCAGUAGCUGGUCUGAGAGGAUGAUCAGCAUCACUGGGACUGAGACACGGCCCAGACUCCUACGGGAGGCAGCAGUGGGGAAUAUUGGACAAUGGGCGCAAGCCUGAUCCAGCCAUGCCGCGUGGAUGAUGAAGGCCCUAGGGUUGUAAAGUCCUUUCGGCGGGGAAGAUAAUGACGGUACCCGCAGAAGAAGCCCCGGCUAACUUCGUGCCAGCCGCCGCCGUAA